GUGGUCUUUACGCCCAAGGGAGGGGUAAUGGGCCUGAGACCGGGCCCUCGGGCCGAACCGAAACCGGUGACGGGAGUAGGUGGAUGAGAGCCCGCAAACCUCUCCCCGCCCGUUGAAAGCCUCGCCCUUCAAGGCGGGGAGGAGGUCAGGAGGAGAUAACC
rnacentral:sRNA from 1 species